AAAGGGUGCGUAGGCGGUUUAUUAAGUCAGUGGUGAAAGACGGUCGCUCAACGAUUGCAGUGCCAUUGAUACUGGUAGACUUGAGUGAGAUUGAGGUAGCUGGAAUGGAUAGUGUAGCGGUGAAAUGCAUAGAUAUUAUCCAGAACACCAAUUGCGUAGGCAAGUUACUAAGUCUCAACUGACGCUGAGGCACGAAAGUGUGGGUAUCAAACAGGAUUAGAUACCCGAGU
rnacentral:rRNA from 1 species